GAAAACAAAUGGAACUUCAGACAACUCAGAACAAAUGCUACAAAUCAGAAUCCAAAUCCAAAACUCCUUUCAACCUUACUCUGCUGAAAGACAAUUUAGGUGCACAAAGGACUGUGGAAAACUCCAAGUUGAUACUUACAUUAUGUCUUUACUUUUGACUUUCUUUUUUUCCAGCUGAGGUUAAUUUGUCUCAGUGAGUGUUUUCUCAUUUUCUCUGUGGCCCCUAUCUUACAUCUCUAACGUGAGAUGCUCAAGAAAAAACUGAGGCAGCGCAAGGUACCGGGAAUUGAAUUCAGGAUCUCAUGCUUGCCAGGAAAGAUGGCUUCAAUUGUGUUCAUCACCCAACGUGAAGUAUGUGAACAAAAGCAAAAUUUUGUCAAAAGUUUUGGUUUGAGAGUCAAAUGUUUGCCAACAAAAGCCUUCAUGACCUGAGGUAUUAAUGCAUUUCUUUUUGUGUUUUAAAAUGUAAUUCAUAGUUUCUCAUGAAAGAAAAACAUCAAUACUAAUUUUUAAACCUGAAGGUAAUAGAUGAUAAUAUUUACAUGAGUUUUAUGCUCUUGUUACACAGAGAAGAAAACUAGAAAUA